GGUGCAAACUUCACAGAUCAGCAGAGCCUUUAUUCAGCAAUGGUCACUCCUCUGACCGGACCCAGUUUCCUGGUGGAAAAUCAGCCUCUGACCAAUAGUGGAGUCUGUGCUUACAUAGGUUACCCUGAGAGAAAUCAGGUGCAUCACAAAACCAGGAUGAUCUCACCUUGACUCUGCAAGGACGAACAACAUAAAAGCUGGUUUCUGUUUUCUCCAGAAUGAGAAAUGGACUGAUCACACCCCACCUGGAAAGCAUUGUCAUCCCUUCACUUGUUAAAUGGAAAACUGAGAUCCUCUGAAGGAAAGGAAUUGGCUCAAGGUCACACAGCCAGCACCAGCUCUAGUUCUAGGUCCCUGGUCUGACUCCCUCUCUUGUACAUCAGCACAGAUACUUCCAUCACUGAGUUUGGAUAAAGUCCAGAAGGUCCUAUGCAUCUCCUAAUCCAUCUACUAGCUCUUAUUGCACUCCACAGUCUAUAGUGCAAUUCUUUUCUCAACCAAACCUUUUGAGUGUGUGUUUGUGUUGAAAGACAGAAAGAUACUUUAUAAGUCCUGUCUGAAGGAGAGAAUCCUUGGGGAUAGUUGGACAAGUCACCACUGGCACAAAUCCCAGGUUCUUCCACUUGGACUGGUGAUUUGGCUGGUCUCAGAACUAAUCAGAACAACCCGUCACUAGGUGUGGUGGUAUAUGCCUAUAAUCCCAGCAGAUUGGGUGGCUAAGGCAGGAGGAUCACAGGUUCCAAGCCAGCCUCAGAAUUUAGCAAGCCUCUAAGCCUCUUAGUGAGACCCUGUCUCAAAAUAAAAAUAAAAAGGACUGGGGAUGUGGUUCAGGAGUUAAGCACUCUUGAGUUCAAUCCCUGGUAUAAAAAAAAGAAAGAAAGAGAGAGGAGGUGGUGGAAAAUAACCCACUGUACUACAGAAGUGUUAUUGCAACAGAACUUGGAACCAGGCCCCAAGUCUCUUCAUUAAAUGAAGUUUAUUGAAUGUUACCAUGUGGCAGGCCAUGUGGACAGAGCUGCAAACAGGGACCACUUAGCCCCUAGGGUUAUGAAGUUCAUGGUCAUUUGCAGGCAAUGAGUGGAGUAGACAAAUGCUCUUAUCAGGAAGCCCUCUGGCUCCAUUCUCUCUUGCAGCGACACCCAUAUUUUCUUUGCAUUACUCCUAGGGCUACUGCCUAGGGGCCUAGGUCUCUCUCUCACCUUCAGACCGUAACUUCCCUAAUUGAUGAGUCAUCCAUACGCCACAGCUCUGGUGAAGCUGUUGAAAGUACAAGACUCAAGAAAAGACUGUUGAAAACUUGGUCAUUAAAUCUCUUGGCACAUUUAUGCAAACAUGGUGGUUCCCCCGUUUCACUGUCCACUUGACUCAUCACUCCUUGUAACCCAUGGGGACCAAGAAAGAAAGGCUGAAUGUUUAUCUAAAUAGUAUUUGCUAAUAUAUUUUGUAUGAUAUAUUUUAUUGCUGACCCAAAGGAGCUUCAUGAUUCUUUGGUGGCUGGUUUUCCUUUGCUUUUAAUUUACAAAGGUCUUGAUUUACAGAUAUUAUAAUUUGGGGGACAACAAACUGCAUCUUUGUAGAAAAAUAUACAUAAAAU